GGGGGCGUACUGGUUUCGACCUGAAAAUCCCGCUACCGACGGCAUGCCGAGGACGAUCCGUUGGCCUCGUUAAACCCCGGGUCAAAACAUUAAUUGCUAACGAAGAGUUGGCUCUCGCGGCCUAAUUAGCCGUGACGUCUGUUCCGGAACACCUGCUACCGGAAACGGACGCCUUUAGCAGGCAUGGCUGACAGCGGAGUUCGCGCGGUGUCGGCCGAGAAACUUCAUGCGAGCUAGGCGGAGUCGAUUGCUGUCGGCCCAUGACGACUCCGCAGAAAACCUUUGGCUGACUAAGCAUGUAGUCGUUGGCAGUAGGCUUAUCAGGGACGCGGGUUCAACUCCCGCCGCCUCCACCA
rnacentral:tmRNA from 1 species